rnacentral:rRNA from 1 species
UACGUAGGGGGCUAGCGUUGUCCGGAAUCAUUGGGCGUAAAGAGCGUGUAGGCGGCCAGGUAGGUCCGCUGUGAAAACUUGAGGCUCAACCUCGAGAUGUCGGCGGAAACCCCCUGGCUAGAGUCCGGAAGAGGAGAGUGGAAUUCCCCGGUGUAGCGGUGAAAUGCGCAGACUAUCGGGAAGAACACCCGUGGCGAAGGCGGCCAACUGGACGGUGACUGACACUGAGACGCGAAAGCGUGGGGAGCAAACAGG